GAAGUCGUGUGGCAAAGUUAAUUUAACGUGAUCAGAAAUUCAUAGUUAGAAAAUUUGUGAAAAAUCCUGGUUUGAGUGCUAUAAAGAUUUCUAUAUCAUUUGCUGAAACAUUUUAUAUUUCAGUUUUAUCUGGAACUGUUCGACGAAUACUCAGAUCAGCUGGAUUACACGAGCGCUCUGCUCGAUGAAAAAAAUUGUUUGUGAGUGCAAAAAAUAUAAAGCUUAUUCUUUCCUUUUCAAAAUCAAUGGUAAAUAAGUCUGAAGAGCUUUAGAACCAUGUCUUAUUUGCAGAUGAAAUCAAAUUAACCAUUUUUGAUUGUACGGAAAAUAUAAAGUGAGGAACGUAAUCCUAGGAACUUGGUUGGAACAGCAAAUCAUGGUUGGUGGACGUGUCCUCGUGUGGGGGUGCAUGUCUACAUCAGGAUUACGUAAUUUAGCAUUUAUUGAUGGCAUAGUAAACAUGUUCUUUAUUUAAAUAUUUUAAAACAUAAUUUAAAAUUAUUUGCCCAACAUUUGAAUUUUGGAAACAACUUUACUUUUUAUCAGGAUAACGAUCCUAUGCACACGGCCCUCAACGUUCGCCUUUGGUGUGUCUACAAUUGUCCACAAGUUCUGAAAAUACCACCUUAGUCACUAGAUUAAAACUGGAUAGAACGCGUUUGGAGAAACAGUGAGAAGAAAUAAUAUAAGAGCGAAAACCGAACUAAAAACAGGAAGAAUGAUGUAAGAAUGUAGAAUCAUUGAUGCAGAUACUACUAAAAAAAAGUGAACGACUGGACAUUUGAAAGCUGUAUCUUGAAGGAUAUCCUACAAAUACUAACUAACAAAAUUUUUACAAUAUUUACUGAUAUUUGCAGAUUUUUUUUAAAGAGUACGAAGACAUUUGUGAGGAAACAUUUUUGUUACUUUUUGAUUACUGAUUUAUUUUUAAAAAAGUUUUACUGUGCUCAUAAAACAGCUAAUAUAUUUUGCUAAGAUAAAUUUAGGGAUAUUAUUAAAAAAUUCUCAUUCUCAAAUACUUAUUUUUAUUAAUGAAUAAAGCAAUAUUUCACUGAAACUCGUUUAAAUGUAGGAACACUUUUUAGAAGCCACUGUACAGUUAAUUGUUCAUUGUUUUUCAAUGAUUUGGUCGUUUAAAUACUAGUUCCUUAAUAAUGUGAGAAACUUUUCUUGUAUUCAGUUAAGAAUGUCUUUUGCAAAUUUCAUUUAUCUGACUGCGACAAAUGUUAAAUAUAUAAGUGAUUUCUAUCUUGGAAUUGGUGGCAUCUAUAUUUUAUCUUCAGUAAUUUUUUGCCCAUAAAUUUUUGAGCAUGUCAUUCUUGAAGUCUAUCAAAACCGCUGGUAUUGUAUUUAAGGUUGAUAGUAGUUGCUAUGGAAAAACAUUAUCACUGAAAAAAGUGCAACAAGCAUUUUUUGAAGAAAUGUGUCUCUUAUCUAAGGAAGAUAAGAUACUUAAAAAAAAUUACUAAAACUAAGCUUUAUCGGAAGAAGUAAUAGAAGUUUCAGUCUGAAAGGGUUGGACAAAGGAGUUCAAAUGUGCAAUAAGUGUUAAAAAUGGAUCAAACUGAGCGGACCCCUCGAAGGAGGUUUGGUGCCAGGCGUUAUCGGGGAAGAACUACGCUGAACCGUGGCCUUGAGGGGCCUUCGUCGCCGAACAGGGGAAGAAUGUUUCACCAAGUCGAAUACUCAAGAUCCCAGGCACAAGCAGAUUCUGGUAUCAGACCUUACCCACGUAAUCAAGUGAAUGAUUUCGAAGUUAUAAGAGAGUAUAAUUUCCCAUCGUCUGAAGAUAAUGCAUCUGAAGUCAAUUCAAAUACGACAAAAAGUGACAGACGUGUAUUUCAGCCGAGAUAUCAACAAAUCAGAAGAGGAAAAGCCAGUUAUUCUCCAAGAGGUGAAGUAAAUGAAAACGAUGCAGAGUAUUCUUUCGGCAUAUCUCGCACUCCGGAAAAUCUUUUGGCUGCGUUAGAGAGCUACGAUAAAGAAUUAUAUGAGACGACUAUUCAUAAAAGUAUUAAGAAAAUUCGGGAUGUUUACACAAAAUUCCAAAGGGCAUCAAAACGCAGAAAUUGUCCAGGAAAUUAUGCCGAUGUUUUGAAAAGGAGAAUGGAAAAUCUAGACCUGCAGAUGAAACAAUUUAACUCUUUUCUAGCAGAAAUCGCAAACUUGAUAUCGUAUAACUGUGAAGAAAAUUUUAUUAGAUCUACAAUACAACUCGAAAAUGAUUUAUUCAAAUUAAAUAUUCCAUCAUAUGGCGUGGCUAAUGAAAUACUGAAAGCUUUAGAGAUAAAUCAAGUGGUGAUUGUCCAAGCUGAUUAUUCUUAUUCAUUCAACAAUAUAUUGCCCAUUUUCAUUCAAAAGAAAUUUCGAAAUCAUUAUUUAAUUUCAUGUGAAACUAAUGAAACGCUGCGUCUGGACUUGCAAAAGAAUAUAAGUUCCAGGUUUUCUCAGUUCAGAAACGUGGAUAUUACAAAGACCGAAGAAAUGCUCUUAAAGGAACUUGCUAACUGGAAAAAAUCAUUUGAAAAACCUUUGUUCAUAAUUUUAAAUCUUCCUUUGGAACGAUCACUAGAAGCCGAUCUAAUGUUGGCUAAAUUGCGUGAAAUACUUUCACAAUGCGUGCAUUCGAGAAUUGUACUGCUUGUAUCAAAUCAGGAUAAUGCUUUCAAACUGGAAAAUUACUUUUCAAAGGCUUGUCUUUUGGAAAUGCCUGAACUAAUUUUUCCUGUGACUGUUAAACUGCGUCAUCGUGCACUUCCACCAGUGGAAAAUUAUAUAACUGAAGCUGUCGGAAAAAUAAUAGCUAUUCACAAUUUAAAAAUUAAGGGUGAUAUACUUGCAUUUUUUCCUUCACUGUCUAAUGCGAUAACUGCUUCAAAUAAUGUGCAUAGUAAACUGAAGGAAAAGGUGAAAUGUGAUGUAUUGAUGGACACCAAUCAAAUUUCUCACACAGAAAAUAAAAUGGGCAGACAGGAAAGAAAUGUAUUUUUUGCAAGUGAUGGCGCAGAGAUGUUAUUUAAUCCUACCGUGCAGCACGUGAUUGAUUGUGGCGUACGUAAAGUUUAUGUGUACGAUCCGAUUAAUAAUUUAGACGUAGAAACUCUUACGUAUAUUUCUAAUGCCCGAGCAGAGAUUCGAAAAUCUUUAGCCGGUGUAACUGAUUCGGGUGUUUAUUAUCCAUUAUACGAUGUAGAAAACUUAGAAAAAGAAGAAUAUCCACAAGUCCUGCGAUCUGAUCCUUUGAAUACCAUGCUUAAAAUCUACAACAUGUGGCCUCAAAAGGCAUUAUCGAUUGAAUUUAUGGAAUCGUUUUCCGAUGAUUUAAAAAAUGAUGCCAUUAAACUUUUGCAAAAGCACGAAAUCCUUAAACGAGGUAAAUUAACAGAAUUUGGUAAAAAGGUUGCCCAAUUACCUUACAGCUUCAAACACUCCAAACUGAUUAUGUUCGGAUUUAAAUGGGGACUUAAAUUUGAAGCUGUAGUGAUUGUUGCAUUUUUUCUUGCCAAAGGAAGAGUGUUUCAGUAUUCCACUGAUGAAAAAGUUCAAAACACAAUAAAUGCUAUUAAAGUUAAGUUUUUACGAAAUGACAGCGAUGUGUUGUCUUACUUAUAUAUAUACAAAGAGUGGGUAGAAAAUAACUACAGUGACUCAUGGUGUGAGGAUAAUUUUAUUAACUUAGAAACGAUGAAGAGUGUUCACGAAAAUGUGAAUGAAAUAUGUGAAAAUAUAGAUAAACACAUGGAACAAAAAAUAGAACAACAAAUAUGUGACAUGGAUUUGUAUAUUUCAGAUAUAUUGCAGAUGCUAUUAGAAUGUUUCCAAGCUAAUCUGUGCGUAUCCACUGGCCAUUAUCGUAGUGGAUACCGUAUUUUAUCUUCUGGCAGCAUUGGUUUCAUCCAUCGAUCGUCCAUGGUACAUGAUACACAGAACUUACCUGAAAUCCUUAUUUUCCAUCAUAUGCUUUCAACAAGCAGAGAUUUUCUUUUUGAUGUUACUGCUGUUCCUAGAAAAAUAGUGGAACAAUGUGUAGCUAAAGGCAAACUGGAUAUCCAGCUCUCAGAUCUGAGGAAAGAAACCUUAGUCCCAGAACGUAUAGAACCAGUCUCAGAAAGAAUAAUUAGGCAAUUUCUUCUUGGCAAAAGGGGACAGAAACUGAAACAAAUAGAGCAAAAUAUCAAUGAGCAACUUAAUGACACAUGUAUUAUAAUUGAUCCAUCCGCAGAGAAAGGUUUCGUCGACAUCUAUGCUUUAAGACAUCAGAUUCUAAAUGCUAAAAAUCUUUUGAUAGGUAUGAUACGAGAGCAUUCACAAUAUUCACUAAGUCGGGAAGAGUUAAGUAUCUUAGAAUUGAGGGGCGAGCAUAGCAAAAUACCUGUAGAAAUAAAAUGGGCCAGUGGAGGAAUAGUAACUUCAAUUAAAGUAGAUCACCAUUUGAAUGUAGAAGAUAACUCAUAUAUUAGGUUUACUGCAAACUCACCAAUCUCCGUACAUCACAGCAUUCACUUAACAUGGAAUCGUAGAGACUGCAAUGGUACUGCAUUUGUGACAUUCUCCAACGACAAAGAUUUUAGAGAAGGAAAGAGGGAACUUGAAGAGAGAUUUAUUUCCUUGCUAGGGUGCCAAGUGAAGGUUGGAAUAAGCAAAAACCGCAAACAAUCCUUGUAUAUUACUGGACUUCCUCCCAGUGCAAGAAUUAGGGAUCUGGAAAAUGACUUAAAUAGUCUUUUGCCAGGUAUUAAACUAGAAAUUCGCCUUAUUUAUACCCCUGAAUUUGAAACGACGGAGCGUAUGUUACAAGAUCUCAAAGAUAAAGUGGAAGAUUUAUGUGAUGAAUGCACUGAUCUUGCUUCUUUCAAUAUUAUCAUUCCUCCACCAAAACCAUCUUCAAUAGAUAUGAAAGCUUUCAUUAAUGUGAAUGAAGAUGAGAAUUUGGAGGAAGCAGCACGGCGGCUUUCGGGCCAAACAGUUGGGAAUUCGGAAAUCUCUAGUUUAAUUGUAUGUCAGUCAAAGAUUAAAAUUAAAAUGGAAAUAUAUAAUGCACUAAAAUCGGCAUUUAAUGACUGCUUCCUUAAAUUAAAACGCAAUAAGAUGCAGGAAUUUCCAGAUCCCUUUACGUUCGAGUUCAUUGACGAUCAGAACAGAAGUUUUAAAAUCCUGAAAUUAUUAACACAUUACAAAACAAUAAUGGAAGAAUUAAAAUUCAUCGUAAACGAGCAACUGGAGGGUCAAGUCCUAAGAAGUAAGGAUUCGAAAGAACUUUCAAAGCUUUUUUGCUAUGGUGGGCACGUAUUUUUGAAAAACUUGCAAAAAGAAAUCUUAGGUAAUGAAGACGAGAAUGACCUUUGUAUUAUAGAGGAUGCCAAAAGAAAUGUCAUCAGGCUGUAUGGAUCUAUUUGGAAACGCAAGAAAGCAAAGGAAAGGAUAAUUAAAUUUUUAGAGGACUCUGAAAACGAAAACGUGAAGAUCAUCCGAUUAUCUGAUGGAAGCAGUAGACGAGUUCUCUUGAAAGCUGUAAUAAUGGAAUAUGGGGUUAAUUUGGAAAACUUCAUUGAAGCCUGUGGUUUGAGGUCUGCUAUUCUCAAUUUAAAAUCCUGUGAGAUGGAAGUGUACGGUAGUCCUGAAUCUACAGCAAGGGCCGAAAGUGUUAUCAAAAAGUUAAGUCGAAAGGCUUGUCAUCUGAAAUCAAGUUCUUUGGCUGCAAGUAAAGAAACCUGUUGUAUAUGUUUGGACCUUCCCAGUGCACUCUCAUUUCGCUUAGAGGCUUGCGGUCAUCUGUACUGCGCCGAAUGUAUCCAUGCGCUGAUGGAAGUGGAGUAUCCAUUAUGCUGUGGAGCCGAAGAGGUUGACUCAGAAACCUACACCGACGUAAUACGACUUCGGCAGCAAGAAUGCGAUACCGAUAUUCAAGAUUCAAACAUCUGGCAAAAAUAGCAACGCUGAAUAACAGAAUCUGUACCUCGUAGGGAUGCAGUUUACACAGCCGCGAAAGGACUGCAAUAGGAAAAUUUCUGUUGAUGACAUUAUUCACAUUUUAGGCGAAAAUUCUGAGAAGUUCCAGAAACUUCUGGAGAAACUUGUAAAGAAACAUAUCCAAACCAAUGCAGAAAGCUAUGCUUGUUGCCC